CCUACUUUCCUCCCCUUCUCUGCCACAGAUAUACCAUCCAGAUGCUGCUCUCCAAGCUGCCCGGCUACAUUCCUAGCCGCAUGCAUGUUGCAGCUGCGCGCGUGUAUGCAGCAUUUAUCAAUGGCAUUAUUGGCUACACCAGUCAAAAAAAACCAAUUGCCGAUUAAUGUUAAUUUUCCUUUUAUCAGUGCUGAUCCAAUAUGGACCGAUAUAUUGGUGCACCUCUAGAUUUGAGUUAUGCAGUCAUAUGUAUAUGCUUGUUCUGUGAACAUCUUUAUCUUUUUGGCUUAGGAAAAUAUGUUAGAAAAUAAAAUCAGGAAAUUGUCUGCCAUAUUUCCUUAGAGAAACAGAAAGUCCUGACUUUUUCAGAUGUAUAUAAUAAGUCUCAGUAUUAUAUUUAGUGGACAUCCCUUACUAUAAAAAUACAACAUUUAACUGAGUUGUGAGACCCUGAUAUAAACUUACAUGGGUAUCAUGUCAGAACUUUGGAUUUUUAAUAGUGAACAUUUGAAAAAUAGCUACCAGUUGGUAACAAAAAGAGGGGCAUACUUCCCCAACAUAAUUCUAAAAAUAAAACUGUGAUUUUUCUGAUUUGAUAUUGCUGAGGUGUUUUUCAUGCACUCGCAGCAUUUUUCUUACUGGACAGUCACAUUUUCUUCUAAAAUGUUUUUUAUAUAGCUCAUGGAAUAAUCAGUUGAGAGGCUCCUAUGUGUAUGUUUCUAAAUUUAAAUAAUCUGUAUACUAUCUGAGAUAAAUUAGUCAUUGGGCAUUUUACAGGCAGAGCAGUAAAGGGUGGGUUUGUCUGUGUGUAUAAGCCAUGUUAAUGGGAGGCCUGAAGAAAUGUUUGCUUUAUUAAAGUUUGUUCUUAGUUAUAUUUGGAGAUGAAUUAACAAAAGGAAUACAAACAUCAUCAGGUUUGUGAGAGAAACUUAUUCAAAAUUAAUUGAAACAAAAGUGAGCAUUUAUGAAAGAACAAUGUAUGCUACUUCUAGAUGAUUUCUAGUUGUUCCCAUAGGCAAGAAAAUUGCAAUAAGAUGUGUGGGGGGAGUUAAUUCAGUUUUGGGUUACUGUUUAUUUUAAUGCAAGCUACAACAGUUUGUUUUGGCAUUUCCAAUAAUUACUUUUAUGACCUGUUCUUAAAAGUCCUGAAUCAUUUUAAAACAUUAAAAAUAGAAAUUAUGUGGUGGACAGAAACCUGUUCCCUGGCCUCCCCUCUAGUCUAUGCAAAUCAUAGCAGCUACUAACAAUUAGUAGAUGGUACUAAUGUGAUCUGACCUGCAGGUCCCUCGUUUUCUCUGCAGAGCCUUCACUGGGCUCCCCUUAGCCCACUGCAUCAAGUUUGAACCUCUCCCCCAUCCUCACCUUGUUUCUCUUCUUGAGCAUGUUUCUCCCUCCUUCUGUCACUGUUUCACAAGUGAAAUCAGCCUCACUAUACUGUUUGCGUCCUGUUCCCACUCCCAUCUCCAUGCCUGCUUCCAUAUGCAUGCAAUGGCCAACUUUUUAAUAUUUGGGCUUAGUUAAAUCCUUCCUGAAGUAUUGGCAAACAUUAGCCCACUGGCCAAAGGCUUGUUCCAUUAUAACAUGUUUAAGAAACCAGGAGGAAGGAAAAAGAAGACUAUUCUAAGCUAAUACCUUCCCUAUGGGUCCUGGUGCCUCUGUCUGUCUUUUAUACAAUAAGCUAUUCAAUGCAGGGAACAUGCCACUAAGCACACUGCUCCCUCUUAAUGAAUAACAAUUAAUGGUAGUAAAUAUAGGAUGAAAAAAAAACGUACUAGAGAGGUCUCAAAUGCACUAUAGUAAUGAAGGCAAUGGCCAUUAGCAGCCUGUUCCUGUGAGAUGCUAAGAAAGCUCAGCAGUCUUAUGCUGAGCUUCUUUGUACAUGAUAAUGUGACGUAUUAGCAUUUUUAGUUUAUAUUUGUUUAGGUAAUUUUAAAAUAAUGAGCAAAUUGUCAGUCUGCAGAUCCUUAGGCUGUUUUAUUUUAGUUUGCUGUAACUGAUUAUUUAAAAAUUGGCAAUUGCAAAUUUUAAGUAUUAGUCAUUUGGCUUGGGUAAUUAGAUUAGUUAUUAGAACCAGAGAAUCUCGACUCUCUUACCACAAACAUUAACAUAAAUGCAGCACUACUUCCCUUGUUGCGUUGCUGCUUUACUGUCAUCCUGAAUGGUCCAUGCAGUGUAUUGAGUAAAUUAGUUAACUUUUCAGACUUAAUAUAGCAAAGUUCAAUUUUUUACAGCAGACAGUACCAUAUCAGAGUAUCUGUCAAGUAAACAAAUUGUGUAAUAUACGGCAGACUGACUUUAAAUGACCUAGUAUGUUUUUUUUCCUCAACAAUCUCAGAGAUGUACGAGAUGUUAAGGAAAUACUAAAAAAGGAAUUCACAAACAAAAACAUGAAUGUGAAUGAUCAUAAGAGAAAGGAAAUGGAACAUCCAAAUCAUAAUUUGGUAUUAACAUCCAGCACCCAACUCCCUAGCAGGUGUGCAUAGGUGAAGCCAGGGG